GGAGAGGUGUCCGAGUGGCUUAAGGAGCACGCUUGGAAAGCGUGUGUGUGUCAGAAAAGGCGCACCGCGGGUUCGAAUCCCGCCCUCUCCGCCA
rnacentral:tRNA from 1 species